CGGAUGGUGAUUUUAUGGCAGCUGCUCAAGCUCGAGCUCCACAAAACAUCCCUGAUAAUGUGUUCGAACCUCGAGUGUACCUCCUAUGACCGCGGCAUCAAGGGCAGUAACGAUAGAGUCAGGUGAGCUUGCCAGAAUCAUCCAAGAAGGUAUUGUCGCGGGCCUAGCACAGAAAUCAAAGGGGACAACAGGCUUUACCCCUAGCACUCCCUUUUCUCCUGAAGUACUAUCCUACCCUCUUCCGGAUAGGUUCAAGUAUCCCCGGAUAAAGGAAUAUGAUGGGACCACUGACCCUAUCAACCACCUCAAUAUAUAUACCGAUAUCAUGAAUAUACAGGUCGCGCUUGACGCUGUAAUAUGCAAAGCCUUCCCUCAAACCCUUACAAGCACAGGUAGAGAUUGGUUCUCCACAUUAGAGUCAAAUUCUAUCGCCUCAUUCGCAGACUUGGCUGAUAAAUUCUCCGCUUUCUUCGCAAGCAGUAAGUGAAUUAGGAAAACAGCGGCAUCACUUAUGCAGAUGCGCCGUGGACCUAAUGAAACAUUACACAAUUUCAUGACCAGAUUCAAUAAAGAAAGACUUCAGAUUCCAGAUCUACAUAUUACAGCUGCGGUCUCAGUUUUGACAUACGCUAUAAGAUGCGAAGCAUUCAAGAUGUCUUUGUCAAAACCCUC
rnacentral:lncRNA from 1 species